rnacentral:rRNA from 1 species
UACGUAGGGUGCAGGCGUUAAUCGGAAUUAUUGGGCGUAAAGCGUGCGUAGGCGGUUGGUGAAGUCCGUUGUGAAAGCCCCGGGCUUAACCUGGGAAUGGCAGUGGAAACUAGGCGACUUGAAUCUGGCAGAGGGGGGUGGAAUGCCACGUGUAGCAGUGAAAUGCGUAGAGAUGUGGCGGAACACCGAUGGCGAAGGCAGCCCCCUGGGUUGAGAUUGACGCUCAGGCACGAAAGCGUGGGGAGCAAACAGG